UACGGUUACCUUGUUACGACUUAGUGCCAGUCACCAGUCUUACCGUCGGCCGCCGCCUCAUUGCUGUUAGCUAAGCGGACUUCGGGUACUACCAGCUUCCAUCACUUGACGGGCGGUGUGUACAAGGCUCAGGAACACAUUCACCGCGUCGUAGCUGAUACGCGAUUACUAGCGAUUCCGACUUCAUGCAGGCGAAUUUCAGCCUGCAAUCCGAACUGGGGCACGGUUUUUGGGAUUUGCUCCACCUCGCGGUAUUGCUCCCCUCUGUCCGUACCAUUGUAGCACGUGUGCAUCCCUGGGCAUAAGGGCCACGAUGACUUGACGUCGUCCCCACCUUCCUCCGGCUUAACGCCGGCAGUCUCGCUAGAGUCCCCGUCAUUACACGCUGGCAACUAACGAUAGGGGUUUCGCUCGUUAAGGGACUUAACCCGACACUUCACAGCACGAGCUGACGACAGCCGUGCAACACCUGUCCAUGUUUCACCCCGAAAGGCAACUCGCGGCAUUACCCGUCCGUAUCCAUGGAUGUCAAACCCAGGUAAGGUUCUUCGCGUUGCUUCGAAUUAAGCCACAUGCUCCACCGCUUGUGUGAGCCCCCGUCAAUUCCUUUGAGUUUUAGCCUUGCGGCCGUACUCCCAGGCGGCACACUUAGCACUUUUGCUUCGGCGUCGAAAUCGUCAGAGAUCCCCGGCACCAGUG
rnacentral:rRNA from 1 species